rnacentral:rRNA from 1 species
UUGAUCAUGGCUCAGAUUGAACGCUGGCGGCAGGCCUAACACAUGCAAGUCGAGCGAAUGAGGGUAGCUUGCUACCUGAUUUAGCGGCGGACGGGUGAGUAAUGUAUAGGGAGCUGCCCGAUAGAGGGGGAUACCAGUUGGAAACGACUGUUAAUACCGCAUAAUGUCUACGGACCAAAGUGUGGGACCUUCGGGCCACAUACUAUCGGAUGCACCUAUAUGGGAUUAGCUAGUUGGUGGGGUAAUGGCUCACCAAGGCGACGAUCCCUAGCUGGUUUGAGAGGAUGAUCAGCCACACUGGGACUGAGACACGGCCCAGACUCCUACGGGAGGCAGCAGUGGGGAAUAUUGGACAAUGGGCGCAAGCCUGAUCCAGCCAUGCCGCGUGUGUGAAGAAGGCCUUCGGGUUGUAAAGCACUUUCAGCGAGGAGGAAGGGGUAUGUGUUAAUAGCGCAUAUUCUUGACGUUACUCGCAGAAGAAGCACCGGCUAA